CUGUUGACAUAAACUUGGGAAAAGGUGUCAUUUUUCAACCGCAGCAAGUCCUUGCGAAAAAGGGUCUUCGGCUUCCCAUUUUGACGGGAAAGAGGCAUAUUUUGGUGAACCACACAAAUGGUGAGAAGAGGUAGAAAGAGAGCGGGAGACAGCAACUGGAAGGAGAUGGAAGUCCAGACACUCUGCCACUGUGUGCCAUUGAACAAGAAAUCUCUCUUUGGAUUAGGGGGUCAAGCUAGUAUGAAGAUUGUUCAAGAGUCAAGACUGUUGAAGACAUGACGUCAUGGACCUGGUUGCAACUGGCAAGGGAACUAUAUGACUUCACUGAAGUAUUCACAAAACGCUUUGUAAAAUUAACAUUAGUACUAAUUUUCAUUUUUCAAAGAUUAUCAUUAUGUUGACAUUGUGGAUAUCUUUUAUGAUUGUUAUCAUAAAAUUAUUAUAGUGUUAAUGAUGAUAGGUCAUAAUAAUAGAAAUGAAAAAUAAGUAGAAAAGAAGACGACAAAGAAGGAGGAGGAAAAGAAGAAGAAGAUGAUGAAGAAGAAAAAGAAGAGGAGGGGUGGAAGAGGAGAAAAGGAGGAGAAAAAAAUUGCAUCACUGCGAGUUCAUUCAUGAUAACAGAAAUCAUCGUCUCUUUUAAAUGGAAAUAUUUAUUAAAGUUCAAGUACACCCCAGAAAAAUGUUGAUUUGAAUAAAUAGAGUAUGGGUAUGAAUAGUAAUCUUGAAUGGCUGCUGACUUUUUACUUUAUCUACUUCUCCAUUUAUUGUGUAAAUGUAGAUUAAAGGCCAAGUCCACCCCAGAGAAAUGUUGAUUUCAAUAAAUAGAGAAAAAUCAAACUAACAUAACGCUGAAAAUUUCAUCAAAAUCGGAUGUAAAAUAAGAAAGUUAUGACAUUUUAAAGUUUCGCUUAUUUUUCACAAAACAGUGAUAUGCACAACCCAGUGACAUGCAAAUGAGAGAGUCGAUGAUGUCCCUCACUCACUAUUUCUUUUUUUAUUGUUUAAAUUAUACAAUAUUUCAUUUUUUACUAAUUUGACAAUAAGGACCAACUUCACUGAACCAUAUAGUAUUAAACAAUACUAAUUCCACAUGUUGAGAGAGGAAUCAAUAGUUGUUCACUUGACAAUAAAGAGAAAAUUAGAAUAUUUCAUACAAUAAAAUACAAAAGAAAUAGUGACUGGAUGACGUCAUCAGUCUCAUUUGCAUACCGACCAGGAUGUGCAUAUAACUGUUUUGUGAAAUUAAGCGAAACUUCGAAAUGCCAUAACUUUCUUAUUUUACAUCCGAUUCUGAUGAAAUUUUAAGUGUUAUGCUUGUUGGAUUAAUCUCUUUUUAUUUAAACCAAAUUUUGUUGGGGUGGACUUGUCCUUUAAGCAUAAAAAUGUGAUAUAUUUAUUCUUGUUUUUUAAGAUGUAUUAUUGUGCCAUGUUUGUAGUUGUACACUUGAUUGAGGUAUUGUAUUAAUUUAGGAUAUGAAUAAUAUAUUUUAUUUGAAUCCACAUACCUCUUUUAAUCAUGUUUAUACAGUCAUGAGUAGGGGAAAUGGGACAGGUGACAAGAUUAUAUUGCUUUACAAAUUUUAGUGUGCAUUUAUUUCAAAAGUAAUAAAUUUACAUAAAAUGUCA